AGGCAGCAGUGGGGAAUAUUGCACAAUGGGGGAAACCCUGAUGCAGCAACGCCGCGUGAGUGAUGACGGUCUUCGGAUUGUAGCUCUGUCUUUGGGCACGAUAAUGACGUACCCAAGGAGGAAGCCACGGCUAACUACGUGCCAGCAGCCGCGGUAAUACGUAGGUGCCGAGGGUUGUCCGGAUUUACUGGCCGUAAAGGGGGGUAGGCGGAUUUUUAAGUGGGAUGUGAAAUACCCGGGCUCACCUGGGUGCUGC
rnacentral:rRNA from 1 species